AACAAUGCAAUGCAUUGUUAAAAGCAAGAACUGUUUUUAAAGAAUGGACAAUUGCAAUCUUCCCAACAUAAUUGUUCUGACAGAGAGUUUUUGCCGCUUGUGUUGUUCGUGAAGGAUAACAGACAUGGUGAUUUUGUGCCCUACAACUUUUCUCUGUUUUAUUGCUUUAUAUUGUGUAUCUGUGAUUGCAGAAGGAAGAUUAUUAUGUUCCUCAGAACAACUUCGUAUCUGGUACACCUUUGAUGGACCAUUGUAUUACCUGUCAAUGACUGCUUCCCCGUGCUCUCUAGGAGUGAAUUUGUUCUCUAUAACUUAUACACUAAUACCAAUGUUUACAAUUGAUCGUAUUGGUUAUCAUGUUAGUAUUCAUUACAAGGGUCAGCUGUGGUUGGAGCACAUAGAGCCAGAUGUUCCUUGCGAGGAUUUAAAAAUAUGUUCCAUCAUCAAAGGAGGUACUACAUGUUAGAAUAUGUUUACUGUUUAUCUUGUACUGUUGUGAUGCAAUGAAACUGCUUCCUUGUUUCAGAAACACUUCAUGAUACCUUUCCAUUGUACAUGAAAAAGUUUAAUGGCCCUGAGGGAGUGUAUCAGAUUUACCUGAGUGUGAACAUUGUUGAUGACCUUGGAAACAAAGUGACAUUACAAUUCAAUGUCACUUUAGAAGCAAAAAAUUAUGCCAAUAAGAGGAAAUUUCCUGUCCCACAGCUGGGAGGGCUAUAGGGUAAACUACAUGGAGUAUACAGCUUAUUUCCUUUUUGAGGUAAAUGUCUGUAUUUUCGGUUCCGUUUUCUGAGCAGAUCAAGUGAUUGUCAGUGUAUGAGUGUCACUGCAAUGGAGUUCUUGUAUUAGACAUGGUGUCAUUCUAGCAAAUUAGUUUCAAAAUCUUGACAUGCACGCUUUCUGUUUUGAUACCAGGUAGUAUCAAACAUUUGAAUUAUUAAUAACAUUUAGAUUCCGCCAAAUAGGAAAGACCACCCCUUCAGCCUGCCUAGCAGCCUGACAAUUAGGAACUUGAUUCGUCUUCCAAGAUGGUGCAUUAUCAGCUGCUGAGUAUUGUCAUUCAUUCAGAACUGCCCUCCUAUUUGAAGUUUGGACAGACUGAAAUAGAUAAAGGAGGUUAAAAUAAGAGCCCUGGGCAGCUUCAUCCACAGUGUCUGCCAUCAGCCAAGAGUAGCUCAUCCUCAUUUCUUCUAAAUGUCUUAUUUGUGAGACAUUACCUUAUAACACUUGAUCACAGAAACACGAGUCACCACAUAAUAUAUUAAGUUAAAAGUUAUGGUUAUUUAAUGAAUGCAAAUGGCAAUAAUGGGCAAACAUGCCAAAACUGUACAGUACUUUAAUAGUUAUUAUAAUAGUUUUAUAUAUAUAUAUAUAUGUAAGUGUGUGUGUGUGUGUUUAUUUGAUAAUACUGAGAACUGUUUUCUAUGUUAAUAUAAAAUAUCAUUUAUUCCUGAUGGCAAAGCUGAAUUUUCAGCAUCAUUACUCCAGUCUUCAGUGUCGCAUGAUCCUUCAGAAAUCAUUCUAAUAUGCUGAUUUAGUGCUCAAGAAUAAUUUCUUAUUAUUGACCCUUUUCACAUUUCCGUUGUCAUAGUUGGUUAAACUUAUAUAGCGGUGAAUGAGAGACUACAUUAAAUAUAUAUUUUUUGUGUUCCCAUUUGCUCAAAUAGCAAAAGAAUAACAAUAGAUAGAGAGAGAUUGAUAACGGCAGUCAGAGAAAGAGAAAGAGAAAGAUGUAAAUUUUAUCAUCACUCCCAUAGCCACUGUAUUUGAAACACCCUCACAGCAGAGUAAACUAGUUUUUUGUAAUUUGAUGAAAAGGUAAUAUAAUACAAAGUAUUAUAAAUGUACAUACAUAAAAAAAAAAAAAAAAAAAAAAAAAAAAAAACUUUGUAGGAUUUACGAUGCUGAUGACCGUUAGAAAGCAAUGUAAUUACCGUCAUUCAAGGUCCAUAAAAGUAGUAAAGACAUCGUUAAAAUAGUCAACGUGACUACAGUGGUUCAACCUUAAUGUUAUGAAGCGACAAGAAUACUUUUUGUGUGCAAAAACAAAACAAAAAUUAUUUAACAAUUUCUUCUUUACCUUGUCAGACUUGUUCGCAGUGAAUGCAGUUCAGCGCUUCUGUGUUUACAUCUGAACGCUGGCUCAGUAUUGGCGGCUCCUGCGUCAGCGUCACACGCAUGCGUCGUGCUGCUCACGUGAAUACCGUCGGCUA